CCCCUAUAGUUAUUGCAACUCUGGAUGUCACCCUUAUUCUUAUAGAGAGGGAUCAUGGUACUCCACCUCCAAGCCUCAGGCAUCUUUGCCGUCUUGAAGAUUUCAUUAAACAAUCUAGUCAACCACCUUACACCAGCCUCUCCAACGAACUUCCAAAACUUCACCGGUAUCUCAUCCGGCCCCGUCGCCCUACCCCUUCGCAUC
rnacentral:lncRNA from 1 species